CAGUAGCCGCGGGAAUACGGAGGGAGCUAGCGUUGUUCGGAAUUACUGGGCGUAAAGCGCACGUAGGCGGCUUUGUAAGUCAGAGGUGAAAGCCUGGAGCUCAACUCCAGAACUGCCUUUGAGACUGCAUCGCUCGAAUCCGGGAGAGGUGAGUGGAAUUCCUAGUGUAGAGGUGAAAUUCGUAGAUAUUCGGAAGAACACCAGUGGCGAAGGCGGCUCACUGGACCGGUAUUGACGCUGAGGUGCGAAAGCGUGGGGAGCAAACAGGAUUAGAUACCCCUGUAGUCCCUGUCUCUUAUAC
rnacentral:rRNA from 1 species